UUCCAAGGAAUCAGUAAUUAAAUGCCAUAAAUCAUAAAACAUUUUCUUUCUGUUUGAGAAUCCUUUUUUUGCAAAAUCGUAGUUUUUAUCAGUCUUUUGCAUUGCUUCCUUGGAAAUUUGUUUAACGGUACCAUUUCGAAGAGAUUCGAGUUUUGAGCUGGUUUCUUCAAUUUCUUUAUCAAUGCUCUGAAUUUUUUCACGAAUUUCGGCUGGACUGAGUGAGUUAUUUAAAGCUUGUAAUUCUUUUAGAGUUAGCAUAAAACAAGUGCUGUGUACGCUCAAAACAAAUGAACGAUA